AACGAACGCUGGCGGCAUGCCUAACACAUGCAAGUCGAACGAACCCUUCGGGGUUAGUGGCGCACGGGUGCGUAACGCGUGGGAACCUGCCUUUAGGUUCGGAAUAACAGUUAGAAAUGACUGCUAAUACCGGAUAAUGUCUUCGGACCAAAGAUUUAUCGCCUUUAGAUGGGCCCGCGUUAGAUUAGAUAGUUGGUGGGGUAAUGGCCUACCAAGUCGACGAUCUAUAGCUGGUCUGAGAGGAUGAUCAGCCACACUGGGACUGAGACACGGCCCAGACUCCUACGGGAGGCAGCAGUGGGGAAUAUUGGACAAUGGGCGAAAGCCUGAUCCAGCAAUGCCGCGUGAGUGAUGAAGGCCUUAGGGUUGUAAAGCUCUUUUACCAGGGAUGAUAAUGACAGUACCUGGAGAAUAAGCUCCGGCUAACUCCGUG
rnacentral:rRNA from 1 species